AUUGAACGCUGGCGGCAGGCUUAACACAUGCAAGUCGAACGGUAACAUAAAGAAGCUUGCUUCUUUGAUGACGAGUGGCGGACGGGUGAGUAAUGCUUGGGAAUCUAGCUUAUGGAGGGGGAUAACUACGGGAAACUGUAGCUAAUACCGCGUAAUGUCGAAAGAUUAAAGUGUGGGACCUUCGGGCCACAUGCCAUAGGAUGAGCCCAAGUGGGAUUAGGUAGUUGGUGAGGUAAAGGCUCACCAAGCCGACGAUCUCUAGCUGGUCUGAGAGGAUGACCAGCCACACUGAGACUGAGACACGGCCCAGACUCCUACGGGAGGCAGCAGUGGGGAAUAUUGCGCAAUGGGGGCAACCCUGACGCAGCCAUGCCGCGUGAAUGAAGAAGGCCUUCGGGUUGUAAAGUUCUUUCGGUAGCGAGGAAGGCAUUUAGUUUAAUAGACUAGGUGAUUGACGUUAACUACAGAAGAAGCACCGGCUAACUCCGUGCCAGCAGCCACGGUAA
rnacentral:rRNA from 1 species